UUUUGCAGUGCAUUUUUGCAGGUAUGGGCAUGGGUAGAAUUAAAUGAAAUGCGGGCAGAUAGUGGGCAAGGAAGUGACAAAGUUAAGGAAGAUUCAUGGUUGAAAAUAAUUUGCAGGACAUUUAAUGAUGAUGAUCAUCUAAUUUCACCGUGGUUGAUCCUCAGCUGGUUUGUUUUGUUGUGAAAUGAGCUUCACCUCUGUUUACAUCCUGCCACAGACAUCACUGAGCAGCGCAUAUUAGAGAUUUGUUGAUGGCAUGCA